rnacentral:piRNA from 1 species
GACUCAAGUUCUCAAAGGAUAUAAACGU